rnacentral:rRNA from 1 species
UACGUAGGGGGGCAAGCGUUGUCCGGAUUUAUUGGGCGUAAAGAGCGUGUAGGCGGCCGGAUAGGUCCGUUGUGAAAACUCGAGGCUCAACCUCGAGACGCCGAUGGAAACCAUCUGGCUAGAGUCCGGAAGAGGAGAGUGGAAUUCCCGGUGUAGCGGUGAAAUGCGCAGAUAUCGGGAAGAACACCCGUGGCUAAGGCGGCUCUCUAGUACGGUACUGACGCUGAGACGCGAAAGCGUGGGGAGCGAACAGG